UACGUAGGGGGGCGAGCGUUUGUCCGGAAUCAUUGGGCGUAAAGCGCGUGUAGGCGGCUCGAUAAGUCCGGUGUGAAAUCUUGGGGGCUCAACCCCCAAGCCUGCACUGGAUACUGUCGAGCUUGAGUCCGGGAGGGGAGAGCGGAAUUCCUAGUGUAGCGGUGAAAUGCGCAGAUAUUAGGAAGAACACCGGUGGCGAAGGCGGCUCUCUGGAACGGUACUGACGCUGAGACGCGAAAGUGUGGGGAGCAAACAGG
rnacentral:rRNA from 1 species